GACGAACGCUGGCGGCGUGCUUAACACAUGCAAGUCGAACGGAAAGGCCCUGCUUUUGCGGGGUGCUCGAGUGGCGAACGGGUGAGUAACACGUGAGUAACCUGCCCUUGACUUUGGGAUAACUUCAGGAAACUGGGGCUAAUACCGGAUAGGAGCUCCUGCUGCAUGGUGGGGGUUGGAAAGUUUCGGCGGUUGGGGAUGGACUCGCGGCUUAUCAGCUUGUUGGUGGGGGAGUGGCUUACCAAGGCUUUGACGGGUAGCCGGCCUGAGAGGGUGACCGGCCACAUUGGGACUGAGAUACGGCCCAGACUCCUACGGGAGGCAGCAGUGGGGAAUAUUGCACAAUGGGCGGAAGCCUGAUGCAGCAACGCCGCGUGCGGGAUGACGGCCUUCGGGUUGUAAACCGCUUUCGCCUGUGACGAAGCGUGAGUGACGGUAAUGGGUAAAGAAGCACCGGCUAACUACGUG
rnacentral:rRNA from 1 species